rnacentral:rRNA from 1 species
ACAUGCAGUCGACGGUGAACAGCGCAAACAGCUUGCUGGUUUCGCUGACGAGUGGCGGACGGGUGAGUAAUGUCUGGGGGGCUGCCUGAUGGAGGGGGAUAACUACUGGAAACGGUAGCUAAUACCGCAUAAUGUCGCAAGACCAAAGAGGGGGACCUUCGGGCCUCUUGCCAUCGGAUGUGCCCAGAUGGGAUUAGCUAGUAGGUGGGGUAACGGCUCACCUAGGCGACGAUCCCUAGCUGGUCUGAGAGGAUGACCAGCCACACUGGAACUGAGACACGGUCCAGACUCCUACGGGAGGCAGCAGUGGGGAAUAUUGCACAAUGGGCGCAAGCCUGAUGCAGCCAUGCCGCGUGUAUGAAGAAGGCCUUCGGGUUGUAAAGUACUUUCAGCGGGGAGGAAGGGAGUAAAGUUAAUACCUUUGCUCAUUGACGUUACCCGCAGAAGAAGCACCGGCUAACUCCGUGCCAGCAGCCGCGGUAAUACGGAGGGUGCAAGCGUUAAUCGGAAUUACUGGGCGUAAAGCGCACGCGGGCGGUUGUUAAGUCAGAUGUGAAUCCC